CCUGCUCACGAUCACCUUUGAAGUGGACACUAUUAAUAUUCUUGUUUUACAGAGGAGGAAACUGAAGACUCAAGAGGUGAAAGAAGUCACUUGCCCCAUGGCCACCCAGCCGAUGUCACAGAUGGGGCUUAGAUCUGGGGUUGUCAAGUCCUGCAGCCUUGCACCACCUCAACUAAAGGGUUGGCAUGUGCUGGGUGAAAUGCCAGUUCGGAGUCUGUGACCGUCCUCUCCCGUUUGACAUGACUCGGGAUGACACUGCAGACGGAAUGAAAAGCCCCACCUGGCUGGCUUUCACAUCAUGCUCUUCCCUGGUAGCUUCCCAGCCCUGGAGAGCCACAAACAGCGAAACUGUGAGAGAAAGAGGUUGGCAUGGCUAUUCCACCACUCUUUCUGUCCUACGUGAUUCACUUCUCUCUUGCCCUUCCUAAGCCAGAGCCAGGCCUGUAACUGGAAAGUGGCAUCUCCUUAGUUUUUGACACUGGGAUAACUAUUCUGGCAAGUUUAUUUCUCUCUUCCCCAUCUUUGUCAAUCGGACAGCAUCAUGAGGAUCCUCAGCCACGCUUGAUGGACAGGAAGCUGGUGGCUCAGCUGUGAGGCUUAUAGGCCUGCCCAGGUAGACGGGGUGGGAACAGGUGCCGAACCAAGGCUUCCUUCCCUGAGAUCCCUUCCAGAAGAAGUAGCUUUUCUGUGACUUCUACAUGACAAUUCCUUGUUCCUAUUCUCCUCUGGAGUUUGAAAACCAGGGCCAGAUAUGUUCCAUAGGAUGCCAAAGUGAUCCCUCCCUCCCUACCUCCCUACCUCCAGCUCCUUCCUUCCUUCUUCUCUUCCUUCCUUCCUUCCCCCCUUCCUUCCUUGCACUGAAUUAGUUGCAUUUGAAAAUGGAGAGAAUUCAUGUUACAAUCCAGAUACACAGCUUCUCUGGAAAAGUUAAAUCUGUCAACAAUGGCUGUGGUGCUCAUAGUAAGACAUGGCUGGAUAGAGCAGGUGCUUUUCCAUUGACAGUCAACCCCAGCCCACAUCCAUCCUCAUUUCCUCCUGCCUGCCGCUCUAAGGUGUUGGAGUCUGUAACCUCAGAUUCUUGGCCAGAACCCACCUAUAACCCACCUAUCUGGGGCAAGCACUCUGCCAAAUCUUCAAGGCAAAUGAAGAAACAGAGAUGGAGAGAAUGAUCUGGAUAACUAAAGGGGGAAGUUUUAGUUCUUGCCAGAAUUUGGUGGACAAUAUGCAAUGAUGUCCACAUUCAAGUUCAAGCUCAUCACAUUCCCACCAAGUCCUCCACAGCUUGAAUUUACAUGAAACAACUUAAGAGUUUAUGGGUGUAGUUCCAAUCCAGCUAGACUAUGUCAAGUUCAGCUCACCUGUUUGGUUAUGUUAAGGGUCUUUUAAAAAUAUCAGUGGAAACUAAAUGCUCAUCAAUAAAGGACUGGCUAAAUGAGAUAUUGCAUAGAGGGAACUCUAAUUCGCAGUUAAGAUGAAUGAACUGCAGCUCUGUUGAUAUAAAUUUAAACACACACACAAAAUGAUGUUCUAUAAUGGGAGCUGGCAAAGUACCAUCCGGUGCUCGUUUUUGUAAAUAAAGUUUUAUUGGCACACAUCCAUACCCAUUUGUUUACAUAUCGUAUGUGGCUGCUUUCACACACAGUGGCAGAGCUGAGUAGCUGCAACAGAGACCAUAUGGUCCGCAAAGCUGAAAAUGUUUCUCAGUGGGCCAUUUACAGAAAAAUAUUUGCUCUCCACUACCCUGUGUUAUUUGGACUACAUACGUACAUAUGUAUGUAUAUAUACACAUUAUAUAUACAUAUGUAUGUGUGUGUAUACACACACAGAGAGAUAUUUAAGUUCAUGGCAGAGGUUGAUUUUGAGUGGUGGUCCAAAGUUAGAUCAUAAAUAGCAUCAACUUUUCUUGAUCUGAAAAUUCUAUUUCUCUAGUUUAAAAUAAUACUUGGAACAAUAUGAAGAAAUGUUAACAGCUGUCAAAUUUCAGUUAAGGAUUCACAGGUGUUUGUUUUAUUAUCUUUUAACUUUUCUGUGUUUAAAAUGUUUUAAAUAAAAAAUUAUUUCAUAGAACAAAAAAGUUUUAGGACUG
rnacentral:lncRNA from 1 species